CCUACGGGUGGCAGCAGUGGGGAAUAUUGCGCAAUGGGCGAAAGCCUGACGCAGCGAAGCCGCGUGAGGGAUGAAGGUCCUAGGAUCGUAAACCUCUGUCAGCAGGGAAGAACGGUCACUGUGCUAAUCAGCAGUGAAUUGACGGUACCUGCAAAGGAAGCACCGGCUAACUCCGUGCCAGCCGCGGCGGUAGUACGGAGGGUGCGUGCGUUAAUCGGAAUUACUGGGCGUGAAGGGUGCGUAGGCGGUAGGUCAAGUGAAGGGUGAAAUCCCCGCGCCCAACGUGGGAACUGCCGUUGAAACUGGCAGACUGGAGUGUGUGAGAGGAUAGUGGAAUGCGAGGUGUAGGGGUG
rnacentral:rRNA from 1 species